UACAGAGGGGGCAAGCGUUGUUCGGAAUUACUGGGCGUAAAGGGCGCGUAGGCGGCCUGCUAAGUCGAACGUGAAAUCCCUGGGCUCAACCCAGGAACUGCGUCCGAUACUGGUUGGCUUGAAUCCGGGAGAGGGAUGUGGAAUUCCAGGUGUAGCGGUGAAAUGCGUAGAUAUCUGGAGGAACACCGAUGGCGAAGGCAGCUCGCUGGGACGGUACUGACGCUGAGACGCGAAAGCGUGGGGAGCAAACAGG
rnacentral:rRNA from 1 species